GAUGAACGCUGGCGGCGUGCCUAAUACAUGCAAGUCGAGCGAACAGACGAGGAGCUUGCUCCUCUGACGUUAGCGGCGGACGGGUGAGUAACACGUGGAUAACCUACCUAUAAGACUGGGAUAACUUCGGGAAACCGGAGCUAAUACCGGAUAAUAUAUUGAACCGCAUGGUUCAAUAGUGAAAGACGGUUUUGCUGUCACUUAUAGAUGGAUCCGCGCCGCAUUAGCUAGUUGGUAAGGUAACGGCUUACCAAGGCGACGAUGCGUAGCCGACCUGAGAGGGUGAUCGGCCACACUGGAACUGAGACACGGUCCAGACUCCUACGGGAGGCAGCAGUAGGGAAUCUUCCGCAAUGGGCGAAAGCCUGACGGAGCAACGCCGCGUGAGUGAUGAAGGUCUUCGGAUCGGAAAACUCUGUUAUUAGGGAAGAACAAAUGUGUAAGUAACUAUGCACGUCUUGACGGUACCUAAUCAGAAAGCCACGGCUAACUACGUGC
rnacentral:rRNA from 1 species